rnacentral:rRNA from 1 species
ACCCAACUGCUAUCGGGAUGAGACUAAGCCAUGCGAGUCGAGCGUCCUCUAGCUACGGUGAGGGCGCGGCGUACGGCUCAGUAACACGUGGCUAACUUGCCCUCAAGACGGGAACAACCUCGGGAAACUGAGGCUAAUAUCCGAUAGGUGGGGAGACCUGGAACGGUCCCUCACUGAAUAGGAGCUAGUAGCAUGCUUGCUAGUUUUGCUUGAGGAUAGGGCCGCGACCGAUCAGGUCGCUGGUGAGGUAAUGGCUCACCAGGCCUAUAACCGGUACGGGCCGUGAGAGCGGGAGCCCGGAGAUGGGCACUGAGAUAAGGGCCCAGGCCCUACGGGGCGCAGCAGGCGCGGAAACUCCGCAAUGCGCGAAAGCGUGACGGGGUCAUCCCGAGUGCCGUCCGCUGAGGAUGGCUUUUGCCUGGUAUAACUAGCCGGGUGAAUAAGGGGAGGGCAAGUCUGGUGUCAGCCGCCGCGGUAAUACCAGCUCCCCGAGUGGUUGGGACGAUUAUUGGGUCUGAAGCGUCCGUAGCCGGCCGGAAAAGUUCCCCGUUAAAUCCGACGAUCCAAUUGUCGGGCUGCGGGGAAUACUCUUCGGCUUGGGGGCAAGGGAGGUCGGCGGUAGUCCCGGGGUAGGGGCGAAAUCCUAUAAUCCCGGGAGGACCACCAGUGGCGAAAGGCGGCCGACUAAAGCGCGCCCGACGGUGAGGGACGAAAGCUGGGGGGAGCGAACGGGAUUAGAUACCCCGGUAGUCCCAGCUGUAAACGAUGUAGCUAGGUGUUGGGACGGCCUACCCACCUGUCCCCAGAGCCGCAGAGGAAGCCAUUAAGCCUACCACCCUGGGGAAGUACGAGCCGCAAGGCUGCAA